rnacentral:rRNA from 1 species
AACAGAUGGCGACCGGCGCACGGGUGAGUAACACGUAUCCAACCUGCCUCAUACUCGGGGAUAGCCUUUCGAAAGAAAGAUUAAUAUCCGAUAGCAUAUAUUUCCCGCAUGGGUUUUAUAUUAAAGAAAUUCGGUAUGAGAUGGGGAUGCGUUCCAUUAGUUUGUUGGGGGGGUAACGGCCCGCCAAGACUACGAUGGAUAGGGGUUCUGAGAGGAAGGUCCCCCACAUUGGAACUGAGACACGGUCCAA